UUUUCUUUUUCCCCGCCUCCAUCUCAAAUAUGUCACGCCUCCAUCUCCAAUCUCGUUGUGCUCUCUCACUGUGCUCUCUCACUGUAAGACGACAGAGCUCCUCUGCCGCUCGUGCCGUACGUCGUCGCUCAUGACGCCGCCGUUUUGUGCUGUACGCCAUACCACUAGACGCCGCACCGUUGGACGUCGCACUGCUGGACGCCGCCUUCUACGCCGCACCUGACCCGCUGAAUUACUUAUCUAUUAAUUAAUUUAUUUAUUUUUACUAAGAUCUAUUGGUUAAAGGAACAAAACCGAAGCUUUCCUUCUACGGCCCCUGUCACAGCCACCAUUGGGGUUUCUUUGAAAACCGAACUCGAGGGAGAAACUAAGGCGAGCCUCAACCUUUUCUAGGGUUCACUGCCACUCAGCUCCACCAUGCAUAGAAUCGCCGGUUCACGACUCAGGUCGCUCAAGCUAGCAAUUUAAAGGGUCUAGUGCUUUCCACAUCCAUGGGUUUUAUUUCUUCUGGUCCUGGAAAGGGGUGCUGCGAUGGGACGAAUUUCAUGGUUUGUAUUGUAGCAUGAGAGGUAUGAAAUUUUUUAUGAGCUUUUAUUUUGACGAUUGUUUAUUAUAAAGUACUUUUCAUAAAUUAGUAUAACCUUUUCUACUAUAAUUCACUAGAUUUUAAAUUAUAGUACAAAAGGUUGCAAGACACUUGAGAUUUUUGUUGUUAUGAGUUCCUUUCUUUAAGUUGGUUUUAAAUCAUAUUAUACAAGUAUUUUUUUUAUUACAUGAGGUUGCCUAUUUGGAAGAUAAAAUUAAACAGAGUCAUAGUAUGUAGAAAGGUUCCCAAACUUGCAAAACAUCUUGGAAAACAGUCGAGAAUAUUUAUGCUGUAGUCUUUGAGAGGUAGGUAAUCCUUACACCAAAAAAGUGCAAUAAAAAUUCUCCUUUGAUGUUUUUGCUCUAUUGUUAAAAUUGCAAUCAUUCUGUUCUUCCCAAAUCUCAGACAAUACCACACAAAUGAUUUUGGUUCAAAUGUAAGCUUUGUGGCAUUUUGUUGAUUAUCAAACUGUUGGCAUAGGCCUAACAUUUAGGUUAUUGCAUUGGUUAACUCUCUUCUUAGAGUAAACUCCUAAUUUUUAACGGGAUCUUGCCGUUUGAUUACCUGUUAGCCCUUUUAGUCAUUCUUUCCUUCAAUUUCUUACUCAUGAUGGCAGAUACCGAAUCUGUAGUAUAUCUUUCAAGGCGGAAAUUUAAAGAACGUGGUUUCUAGAGGAAGUUUCUUGCUAUUGGUGUACAAAAAUUGGAUCUUGAGCGUUACUGGUACAAAAUAAAAGAAUCAAACAGCAGAAUUUUGUAUUGCAUGUUUCUUACAGCCCUCUUAGAAUAUGUUCUUAAUGUAUCUAGCAUCUAUUAGAUAUAAGAUUCAAAAUCUUUAUCCUAACAAGACUAAUGGAACGUUUAGCAUUAGGUAUCUGCAAUUACACAGCUUAUAAUUCUUUUGGAUUGCUACUGAAUUUGAAACAACGUUCUCAGGAAACUAGGAGGACCUCUUGAUUUUAUAUCACAAAAUCCAAUAGCGUUUUUUUUUUUUAAAAAACAAUCCAUUCUAUCCUAUCCCCACAUUUUAGAAAUGUUACAUGGCUUAAACUUUAGUAUUUUCCUUCAUGAUACUCUUUUGAAUUUCAUGCAUAUCCUUGCAGGGGUGGGGGUUGAACAUCUGAAUCCAAGGGAAGAAUUAGAGCCUAUGAGAUUUUAACAAUGUUUUAACGACUGAUUUUUACCUCUAAGGGUCAUUCCGGGGGAGCUGUUUUUUGACUUAAGAGAAAAGUUAAAAGCCAGUGAAUUCUAUCAUUGACAAUAGUUGUGAUGUUGAUAUUUAAGAAUGACCUUAGAAUCUCUGUUAUACAAGUUACAAUAGAAGGAGGAAGGAAAGAGGGAAGAAACAGCAAACUUGGAGGGUCUUUUCAUAUGGAGGGGGUUGAUUCUUUGAAUUGUUCAUAUGGAGGGGGUUGAUUGGUAUAUACUUUUGAGACUUUGUUGUAGUAGUCAUUUUGAAACUUUGUUGAUAGGUUAUCUGUUCAUAGGUUAUUUGUUCAUAGGUGAAUUGUUCAUAUGGAUGAUAGGUGAAUCGUUUAUAAGAGUUGAAUUGUUCUGAAACUUUGUUAUUGUAGCCAUUCUGAAACUAUGAUCGAAUUGUAUAUUGGUUUUAUAAAUGAUAGGAAUAUUUGUAAAGUUUUGGAAAUGAUAUGGUGAAAUGUUUUAUAUUUGAUGAA